rnacentral:misc_RNA from 1 species
GAUGAAGAACGCAGCGAAAUGCGAUAAGUAAUGUGAAUUGCAGAAUUCAGUGGAUCAUCGAAUCUUUGAACGCACAUUGCGCCCCUUGGUAUUCCGAGGGGCAUGCCUGUUCGAGCGUCAUUAUAACCCCUCAAGCUCAGCUUGGUGUUGGGGCCUGCUGCACUGGCAGCCCUUAAAAUCAGUGGCGGCGCCAUCUGGCUCUAAGCGUAGUAAUUCUUCUCGCUAUGGAGUCCUGGUGGAUGCUUGCCAUCAACCCCCAAUUUUUCUAUGGUUGACCUCGGAUCAGGUAGGGAUACCCGCUGAACUUAAGCAUAUCAAUAAGCGGAGGA